rnacentral:rRNA from 1 species
UACGGAGGAUUCAAGCGUUAUCCGGAUUUAUUGGGUUUAAAGGGUGCGUAGGCGGUCGGAUAAGUUAGAGGUGGAAUCCCGAGGCUCAACUUCGGAAUUGCCUCUGAUACUGUUCGGCUAGAGAGUAGUUGCGGUAGGCGGAAUGUAUGGUGUAGCGGUGAAAUGCUUAGAGAUCAUACAGAACACCGAUUGCGAAGGCAGCUUACCAAGCUACUUCUGACGUUGAGGCACGAAAGCGUGGGGAGCAAACAGG